UUCACUUUGCUGCUUGCUGUACAGACUGUGCCACGCAGGCUGGCUAGGUCGCUCUCACAAAGGGGACUUACUUCCAUGGAGGAGCAAGGAGAGAUGAAGGCUGCCUCUGGAUCAGACAAAGGCAAACAGCAAGCACCAAGUGAUUUUUUUUGCAGAAGUUGGUUUUAAGAAGAAAAGCCAGGAGGCUGUACUAAGAUGAAUUGAACCUUCAUCCAGUAGCUGAUGGAAGCAGAAGCAGACACCCACAGUUAAACACUGAAGAAUUGGAAUCCAGUUGCAGAGAGGGAGGAGUGAUGAGCAAAGGUGUCAAGACCAGGCUGGAGAA
rnacentral:lncRNA from 1 species